rnacentral:rRNA from 1 species
UACGUAGGUGGCGAGCGUUAUCCGGAUUUACUGGGUGUAAAGGGCGUGUAGGCGGGAGAGCAAGUCAGAUGUGAAAACUACAGGCUUAACCUGUAGCCUGCAUUUGAAACUGUUCUUCUUGAGUGAUGGAGAGGCAGGCGGAAUUCCUAGUGUAGCGGUGAAAUGCGUAGAUAUUAGGAGGAACACCAGUGGCGAAGGCGGUCUGCUGGACAGCAACUGACGCUGAGGCGCGAAAGCGUGGGGAGCAAACAGG